UGGAUCCAGACUUUGAUCAUGGCUCAGGACGAACGCUGGCGGCACGCCUAACACAUGCAAGUCGAACGGAGAUAAUUGAGUUUACUUGAUUAUCUUAGUGGCGGACGGGUGAGUAACACGUGAGCAACCUGCCUCUGAGAGAGGGAUAGCUUCUGGAAACGGAUGGUAAUACCUCAUAACAUAGCGGAACCGCAUGAUUCUGCUAUCAAAGAUUUAUUACUCAGAGAUGGGCUCGCGUCUGAUUAGCUAGUUGGUGAGGUAACGGCUCACCAAGGCGACGAUCAGUAGCCGGACUGAGAGGUUGAACGGCCACAUUGGGACUGAGACACGGCCCAGACUCCUACGGGAGGCAGCAGUGAGGGAUAUUGCACAAUGGAGGAAACUCUGAUGCAGCGAUGCCGCGUGGAGGAAGAAGGUUUUCGGAUUGUAAACUCCUGUUUCGAGGGACGAUAAUGACGGUGCCUCGGGAGGAAGCUCCGGCUAACUACGUGCCAGCAGCCGCGGUAAUACGUAGGGAGCGAGCGUUGUCCGGAAUUACUGGGUGUAAAGGGAGCGCAGGCGGGAUUGCAAGUCAGGUGUGAAAUGCAGGGGCUCAACCCCUGAGCUGCACUUGAAACUGUAGUUCUUGAGUGAAGUAGAGGUAAGCGGAAUUCCUAGUGUAGCGGUGAAAUGCGUAGAUAUUAGGAGGAACAUCGGUGGCGAAGGCGGCUUACUGGGCUUUUACUGACGCUGAGGCUCGAAAGCGUGGGGAGCAAACAGGAUUAGAUACCCUGGUAGUCCACGCUGUAAGCGAUGAUGACUAGGUGUGGGGGGACUGACCCCUUCCGUGCCGCAGUUAACACAAUAAGUCAUCCACCUGGGGAGUACGGCCGCAAGGUUGCAACUCAAAUGAAUUGACGGA
rnacentral:rRNA from 1 species